rnacentral:rRNA from 1 species
UACGGAGGGAGCGAGCGUUGUUCGGAAUUACUGGGCGUAAAGCGUAUGUAGGCGGCUUUGUAAGACAGGCGUGAAAUCCCGGGGCUUAACCUCGGAACUGCGUUUGUGACUGCAAGGCUUGAGGAUCGGAGAGGUUGGCGGAAUUCCUAGUGUAGAGGUGAAAUUCGCAGAUAUUAGGAGGAACACCGAUGGCGUAAGCAGCCAACUGGACGAUUACUGACGCUGAGAUACGAAAGCGUGGGGAGCAAACAGGAUUAGAUACCCUGGUAGUCCACGCCAUAAACGAUGUGUGCUCGCUGCUGGGAUCCAUAGGAUCUCGGUGGCUAAGCUAACGCUUUAAGCACACCGCCUGGGGAGUACGGUCGCAAGAUUAAA